ACAUGCAAGUCGAGCGAGAACUUCGGUUCUAGCGGCAAACGGCGCAGUAAUACGUAAGCAACGUGCCCCUAAGACUGGGAUAGUCCGAGGAAACUCGGUUUAAUACCAGAUGUGGCCCUCUCAUCGCCUGAUGAGAGGAUUAAAGGACUUCGGUCGCUUAGGGAGCGGCUUACGACCUAUCAGGUCGUUGGUGGGGUAACGGCUCACCAAGCCUACGACGGGUAGCGGGUCUGAGAGGAUGAUCCGCGCGAGUGGGACUGAGACACGGCCCACACACCUACGGGUGGCAGCAGUUUGGAAUAUUGCACAAUGGGGGAAACCCUGAUGCAGCGACGCCGCGUGGGGGAUGAAGGAUUUCGGUCUGUAAACCCCUUUUGCCAGGAAAGACUUAGGACGGUACCUGGCGAAUAAGCCCCGGCUAACUACGUGCCAGCAGCCGCGGUAAUACGUAGGGGGCAAGCGUUGUCCGGAUUUACUGGGCGUAAAGGGCGCGCAGGCGGCCUGUUAA
rnacentral:rRNA from 1 species